rnacentral:lncRNA from 1 species
UGGGGCGGUGCGGCCCCACGGAGAAACUGAGGCAGGCGCGAAGCGUCGAGUGCGCGCGUGGCCCUGCAGGCAGGCGGAGACCCUGGUGGCUCCCAUACACGUAACAGCCCUCACUGCUCUUUGACGUUAGUGAAUAGACCGUAAGCUCCCUGGAGCAGGGACCUUGUCCCAGCGUCUACCGCGGCGCCCGUCACCUAGGAAACCUCCAUUUUCUAAGGCCUUUCAGCUGAUUGGAUGUGGU